rnacentral:rRNA from 1 species
AGCAGCCGCGGUAAUUCCAGCUCCAAUAGCGUAUAUUAAAGUUGUUGCAGUUAAAAAGCUCGUAGUUGAAUUUCGGGAUCAAUAUAUCGGUCGUGCCUUCGGUACGUACUGGUAUCGUUGAUUUCUACCUUCUGACGAACCAUGAUGUCAUUAAUUUGAUGUCAUGGGAAAUCAGGACUGUUACUUUGAAAAAAUUUAGAGUGUUUAAAGCAGGCACACGCUUGAAUACAUUAGCAUGGAAUAAUGAAAUAGGACGUUUGAUCCUAUUUUGUGGUUUCUAGGAUCGACGUAAUGAUUAAUAGGGAUAGUUGGGGGCUAUUAGUAUUCGAAUUGGUCAGAGGUGAAAUUCUUGGAUUUAUUGAAGACUAACUACUGCGAAAGCAUUUGCCAAGGAUGUUAUCAUUAAGUCAAGAACGAAAGUAGGGAUCGAAGUACGAUC